CAGCCUCCCAGAGUGCUAGGAUUACAGGAGUGAGCCACCAUGCCAGGCCUACCUACUGGCUAUUCUAAUGGGAUUUUCCCCUGUGCUUCCUCCUCCAUUCCUCUACCCUUAUCCCCAUCCUGGGAAUGGAUCAACACCUGGAGCCAUCCUGGGGGACCAAAAGACUCAGUUUUGUGGAUGAAAGGAAAGCAAUGAAAUACAGGCAUUUCCCUAGGCAUUGGUGCCUUUACAUGAAAUGCUAAGAAAAGUUUGCAGACAAGCCCAUUCCAGCGUAUGGUAAAGGAGCCCUGGAUACCAAGCCGAAAGCAAAGGACACCAGACUGGGGCAUUGAGACGAUUGGGACUUACUCCAACUCUGACCUGUUCGGGCCAGAGACAUCCUUCUCUCCGGAUCCCACAGGAAUGCUGUGAGCCUGGAACUCUUCAAAAAGAAAAUGGCAAGAGAAUCCUGAAAUCAGG